CUUCCUCCCAAGGAGGCAGAGGGAUGGGGAGGUUGCAGCUUUCCAACGCCUCUUCUGAAGUGGCCUUCCAGUCUGAUGCAUUCUUGUGGUCCAGCUCUCCAGUGGCAAUAUCAUUAUGCUUGGAAGACAGACUUUCUGUUCAGAAAGGGCCUAAGGUCAUUAAAAAACUGGGACUAGUGGAGUAAGGCACAGGUUUACUGACCUAACGGCUUCUAUAGACAACGUGUGAUUUGCAAGUGUGGAUGCUAGUUUUGUGAUCUUAACUACUGCUCAUCCUCUGGAGUUAAAGUUGAGCUCUGAACUUUCUCAAUGGCCAAUAUACGCAAAGCCUUGGAGGCCGUCAGGGAAAUACUCUAAAUGACGCAUCUCUGGCUCACUGAGCUAAAAAUUUUAAGACACAUAGAAUUUUAUUGUUACAUUGACUUGCAGUCCAUUUAAAUUUUAUAUAUGUUAAGCAGUUAACUUCAUACAUGGAUAUGUGAUUGCCUCAUAUUAAGACUUGUACAAUAGCAAGAAAAAAUACCUAUUGAUUUAAAAAUCAUGGAAAACGUGUCCACCUACUUCCCUAAAAUGUUCCUUUGAAAGAUGGAAGGGUACAUUGUACUUCCACUGUGGCAGAAAGGAUGUUAGGUACCAAGUAUAAGUGGAGGUACGAUAUGAAAAGAGGGUGCAGAGCAACAUUUUUUCAUGGCGGCCAGUAGGUAGGAGGCACCCAAGUAUCUAUCAUAAGGCUAGAUGGAUUGACAAGAUGGAAUAUGUCUUUCCAGUAGAAUAUUCAGCCUUAAAAGAAAUGAAUUUCUGACAUUAGCUGCAAACACAAGUGCAUUUUGCUAAGUGAAAUAAGCCAGUUUGAAAGAGAUAAAUCAUCUAGAGUAGUCAAAAUCAUGAAGCCAAACAGGAGCCAGACGGGAGUCAACAGUUGAUAUUUAAUGGGCUCAGAGUUUCGGUAUUGCAGGAUGAAAAGCAUGACAUGCAUGUUGGAGAUGUUUCCACCACUAUGUGAAUGCCACUGAAUGGGAG